CUGUACUAUAGAGUCCAGGGCACGUGAGGAUUUUCUCCAGGACCUCCAUCCCUGGGGCAGCUACAUCCCACCCGCUCCUUCUUGUACAUGGCAUUCGUACCAAUGAGCACCAAAAAAGAAAAGUUUUGUGGGCUGCUCGGAUACUAAAGAAUAGCCUCGGAUAAACUUUGUAAUUCUACUUCAGAUUAAUUCGAGGAUGCAGAAAACACCCACUCAUCCCACUCCUAGGCUCUUUGGAUAAAACAGGAAAAAGAGUAAAAGACAGCAAGACAUCACAGAAGAGAUUUCCUGCAGCUGACCUCUUUGGUGCCAUAGAUAUGACCUGACCAGGGGACCAAGGUGUUAGCAGUUUAUAUACGAACUUGCUUCAGGCUCACUGGGCCUCUGUCUCACUAAAGACCUAUCCAAGGAUGACGGCUCUUGCCUGCGGUUUAACACGUGCCUGAAGUGAAACACUGCACUGCCAUUGAACAGGUUUAUUGUACAGAUUGCUACUAGUUUGUCAAGGUGAUAUUU